AUUUGCGUUCCCAGCAAGUUCCCGGGUGAUGGGGGCGCUGCCCGUCGUGGGCGCCGCUUGGAGAAGCCCCGGUUUAGGAUCGUAGCUUAAGAACUAGCACCACCUCCCGCAGCUGUCAUCGCCUCCUGGGGUGGGGGGCGGGGGGCAGACCUGAACCUGUGCUUUCCGUGGGAGCUCUGGGCUCCACCCCUGCAGGUGCGGAGGGAAGCAGGAGCUAGAGUUGGGGCUCGGUAACAUUCCCCAAUGUCGGCGGUGACGCUGGGACACGCUCAAGGCUGGUGAGUGGGAAUAGGGGAUGGAGGGCAAAACAAAGUCUCACACGUUUUCAAAGAAACCCCUCCGCACGCGCAUCCUCGCGCUUGCCUUUCGGAAGGCGGUCCCCCGGGUCCUGCCUCCGAUGUCCAGGGCACCUUCCCCGCGGCACCCCCCAGCGCCCCCAAACUCUGCCGACCCGCGCCCCACAGCCCGGCCAACCCCACCGAGGCAGGCGACGCGCACCGGGAGGGGCUGGGUCUGCGGAAGCGCUGCGCUCGGACCUGAACUGUAAGUGGCUUUCCCACCCGCGUCCCCGCGUCGGGACUCCAGUCACCCCGGAGCCACCCGCAACGGCGGCCGAGGCUUCCUCCCGCGGACCCGGCGCCGAACUCACGGCUCGGGGCGGACAGGAGGAUGCAAAGGCAGCCACAGGUGUGUAAAAUAGGACAGCCUCUCUAGGAAAAUGCAAGCAAGCAAACUGUGGGACAUCUAUGCCGUGGACUACUACUGAGGUAUCAAAGGAAUGACACAUGCAACAACCUGGGUUGUCUCUUCGUUUCCUCAGGCUUUCCACAUUUCCCAUUAGAAAGGGAGUCAUCCUGCCUCAACUUCAGGAUCUGUACCUUAUGAACGACUCCAGUGAGUCCACGUCGCCCAGUCUCAGUGUCCGGUUUGCCCCAGCAGAGCUGAGUAGUGCACUGGAAACUUGUGUGUGCAAAAUGGCAAUGGGAACAUGGUCGGAACGAAAGAAAAGGGGAAAGUACUGCAGAAAAUGCUGUGCUGUGUUUGGACGUGAGAGAGCCAAGUCUGGCUCCAGCACUUCUGCUAGAGGCCUCAGAAAGUCUGUCUCCAAGAGUCUCGAUUUUCCGUCCCCGAAAACAGAGUGGACCUCACAAGGGCCAUGUGAGGAGCAAAUAAGAAAACAUAGAUAAGCCGAAACCGGUUUGGCUCAGUGGAUAGAGCGUCAGCCUGCAGACUGAAAGGUCCCAGGUUCGAUUCCGGUCGGGGGCAUGUA